GCCCGGUUAGCUCAAUCGGUAGAGCGUGAGACUCUUAUUAAAGAUUCACGUUCUGAAUGUGGACAAUCUCAAGGUUGCGGGUUCGACCCCCGCAUCGGGCU
rfam:Trichoderma reesei QM6a unplaced genomic scaffold TRIREscaffold_70, whole genome shotgun sequence.